UACGGAGGAUGCGAGCGUUAUCCGGAUUUAUUGGGUUUAAAGGGUGCGUAGGCGGCGAGUUAAGUCAGCGGUAAAAGCCCGGGGCUCAACCCCGGCCCGCCGUUGAAACUGGCUGUCUUGAGAUGUCGAGAGGUAUGCGGAAUGCGUGGUGUAGCGGUGAAAUGCAUAGAUAUCACGCAGAACUCCGAUUGCGAAGGCAGCUUACUAAGCCAUAACUGACACUGAAGCACGAAAGCGUGGGGAUCAAACAGG
rnacentral:rRNA from 1 species